rnacentral:RNase_MRP_RNA from 2 species
GGGUUCCAACCAGUUCAACUUUCGGGGUCACAUGCGAGUUCUUGUAACUCAUACUCACCCUGUGGAAAGUCCCCGGAGACGAGGCGGAAAGCGCCACAUCGUUAUGAUGGUAGCAGCGAUGGUGACGCAGGGGAGGACAAUUCCCGUACGUUGUCAUCGCCUAGCAUUGCUCAGAGCAAAGUCAAUGUUGAAGGGCUUCGGCUCAAACGAAAUGGGGCUUACUCGGUUUCGGAAACC